GACGAACGCUGGCGGCGUGCCUAAUACAUGCAAGUCGAGCGAAUCGAUGGGAGCUUGCUCCCUGAGAUUAGCGGCGGACGGGUGAGUAACACGUGGGUAACCUGCCUGUAAGACUGGGAUAACUUCGGGAAACCGGAGCUAAUACCGGAUACUUUCUUUUCUCGCAUGAGGGAAGAUGGAAAGAUGGUUCUGCUAUCACUUACAGAUGGACCCGCGGCGCAUUAGCUAGUUGGUGAGGUAACGGCUCACCAAGGCAACGAUGCGUAGCCGACCUGAGGGGGUGAUCGGCCACACUGGGACUGAGACACGGCCCAGACUCCGACGGGAGGCAGCAGUAGGGAAUCGUCCGCAAUGGGCGAGAGUCUGACGGAGCAACGCCGCGUGAGCGAAGAAGGCCUUCGGGUCGUAAAGCUCUGUUGUUAGGGAAGAACAAGUACGAGAGUAACUGCUCGUACCUUGACGGUACCUAACCAGAAAGCCACGGGUAACUACGUGCCAGCAGCCGCAGUAACAC
rnacentral:rRNA from 1 species